rnacentral:lncRNA from 1 species
UGAAAACAGCCUUGGCCUCUUGGUGUCAUUGUUUUCCUCUGUUUGUAAUGACAACUUUAAUCUCUUUGACUAACAACCUACCUAUAGCCCCUAAUUUUUUCAAUUGUCAGUUUGCAAAAUUGAGGUCUGAUCUGCGAACAAACAGUAAGACUCGCCACUUUUCCUGCAAGUUCUGUGGAGGGCUGACUGCAAGGGCCAGGAGGGUGGUCUGGCCCCAUGCAGGCACCUCCGCCUUCAUUCUGCAGCCAGGUCAGAGACCCUUUCUCCCCACCAUUUACUGAACUGUACGUUGGACGAUGGGACGCCUCCUCCCCCCACCCUGUGAUGGGGUCCUGGAGGGGCAGACUUUGGAGAGGAGCUGCUGAAGGGUGGUGGGGGAGCAGGCAGG